GGGUUGGUGGAGCUCCCGUCCCAAUCUGUCUCGAAUGGAAUAGUAAAAAAAAAGAAAAUAAACGAAUUUGGGACGGAAAACGAUGUAAUUUUUAUGAUUCGAAACGGAUUCAUUUUGACCCGCCCUGAAAACCAUUUAUGUUCUUAAAAAAUAUUCUUAAAAAUAAUAUAUUUACAAAAAAUUUAAAAUACAAAUAAGUUAGUGCUAUCAUUUCUCAUAUAUUUAAAAUUUUUGAAUUUUUGUUUUGAAUUGUGAUUGAUAUUUUUUAUUUUUAUAAUUGAUAUUGUUAAUUAUAUAUAUAAUAUUAUUAAAAAGUAUUAAUUUAUAUUGUACAAAAUAUUUAAUAAUAUUAUAAUUUUAUAAAAAAUAUUAGCUGGUGAGACGGAUUCGGAGCACCGGCGGAAGGCGGGUUAUGAGGCCAGGCGGAUUAUGAAAUAUAUUUUUUAACACGUUACGAAUUCGGGACGGGAGGCGGGGCGAGAUUUUGAUAGUCGGGGCGGGAGGCGUGAUGAUGAUGAUGGAGAGCAUGUGGUA
rnacentral:lncRNA from 1 species